GAAUGCAGGCUGCCUGGCUAGGCCCAUCUCCUUCCCCACAAGGUCUCCUAAAUAGAUUCAGCUGACCUGACAGGCAGGCAGCUGUGACUCCCUCCCUCACAGCAUCAAAUCCAUCUCCCCACAGCUAUUUGCCUGGUUAAGGGGACAGAACCUCACUGAGGGAACCACUCUCAGAUCAAGAGUAUUGAAGUAAAUGAAAUCCCUAAGUGAACCUCCAAACAUCCAUAAUAUAAUUGAUAUAGAAAUGCCCAGGACCACUGAAAACACUAUAGAGUCAACACUGAACUGACAAAAACAAAUGUUUCUUUCUCUG
rnacentral:snRNA from 1 species